GACGAACGCUGGCGGCGUGUUUAACACAUGCAAGUCGAACGGUGAAAGUGGAGCUUGCUCCGCUGGAUCAGUGGCGAACGGGUGAGUAACACGUGGGCAACCUGCCCCAGACUUCGGGAUAACUCCUCGAAAGAGGUGCUAAUACCGGAUACGAAGCCCCCAGGCAUCUGGGGGCUUGGAAAGUUUUUCGGUCUGGGAUGGGCCCGCGGCCUAUCAGCUUGUUGGUGAGGUAACGGCUCACCAAGGAGACGACGGGUAGCCGGCCUGAGAGGGCGACCGGCCACACUGGGACUGAGACACGGCCCAGACUCCUACGGGAGGCAGCAGUGGGGAAUAUUGCGCAAUGGGCGAAAGCCUGACGCAGCAACGCCGCGUGCGGGAUGACGGCCUUCGGGUUGUAAACCGCUUUCAGCAGGGAAGAAGCCGCAAGGUGACGGUACCUGCAGAAGAAGCACCGGCUAACUACGUGCCAGCCGCCGCGGUAA
rnacentral:rRNA from 1 species